GUUGAAUUCAUGGAUGCACAGUAC
rnacentral:siRNA from 1 species